GUCCCUGGGGCGGCGGGGCGGGGGCGCAGGCCGGGGCGGCGGCGGGCCUGAGGGGCGCGGGCGGCGCGGCCUGGUGGCGGCGGGCGGACAACGACUAACGGGCGCGGGGCGCCAUGUUGGGCCGCGCCGGGCUGCACCUGUGCCGGCUGGGACGCCUUUGUUCCCCGCCGGCGCUGGCGGUCUUUGUGCGCGGGCGGGCGAAGCCGGGCGGGGGCGGGGGCGGGGGUCCUUGCCCUCCCGGCGGGGACACGCGCGGCAGCCGUUGGGCCCCGGCCCGUGGCGCGCAGGUGGAGCCCCAGGGUGGGCGCCGCGCCGCCGAGCCGACCUGACCGCAGGCCGCGAGUGCGGACCCCGCGACGGUCGGGGGAUAGCCGGGAGCAGGAGCGGGGGUUUAAAAUCUCGGCCUUUAACACACGCUGGCGUCGAGUCCGGCGGGAGGAACUGGGAUGGGUGUUCCCUGGGACCCGCACAGCCGGAGCUCCCUGGGCUCCCGAGAUCAGGACGGGCUCUGACGUUCGGGUGGAGAUGGGAUCCGAGUCGAGGUUCUGGUACUGGUCACUUUCAGCUGCCAGCAGUCUUCAGUUUUGGGUUGAUGGUUGGUAGAGUGAGAACUACUGCUCACUUCAGAGUUUGUGUAAGCUUUUGUGAAGAACUCCACUCUACUCAGUGGGGAAAUCCAGCUUUGUGAUUUCAACGUUUUGACGACUCAAUAUAAAACACGUGAAUUGAGCUGGGGAUUUAGCUCAGUGGUUCAGCUACCUCCCUCGCAAGCAGAAGGUCCCGAGUUCGAUCCCCGGUACCAAAAAACACAACAACAAAAAAACCAAAAAAAAAAACCACGUGAAGGUAGGUAGAAUUAGGCUUAACUAAGAAGUGCUGGUGAGAGAACAGAAAACAGUAAUAAAAUG
rnacentral:lncRNA from 1 species